rnacentral:rRNA from 1 species
CCUACGGGAGGCAGCAGUGGGGAAUCUUGCGCAAUGGGCGAAAGCCUGACGCAGCAACGCCGCGUGCGGGAAGAAGGCCUUAGGGUUGUAAACCGCUUUCAGUAGGAACGAAAAUGACGGUACCUGCAGAAGAAGGUGCGGCCAACUACGUGCCAGCAGCCGCGGUGACACGUAGGCACCAAGCGUUGUCCGGAUUUAUUGGGCGUAAAGAGCUCGUAGGCGGUUCAGUAAGUCGGGUGUGAAAACUCUGGGCUUAACCCAGAGCCGCCACUCGAUACUGCUGUGACUUGAGUUCGGUAGGGGAGCAGGGAAUUCCUAGUGUAGCGGUGAAAUGCGCAGAUAUUAGGAGGAACACCGGUGGCGAAGGCGCUGCUCUGGGCCGAUACUGACGCUGAGGAGCGAAAGCGUGGGUAGCAAACAGGAUUAGAUACCCUGGUAGUCCACGCCGUAAACGUUGGGCACUAGGUGUGGGUUCCAACCAACGGAAUCCGCGCCGUCGCUAACGCAUUAAGUGCCCCGCCUGGGGAGUACGGCGGCACGCAAACUCAAAGGAAUUGACGG